CGGUCAAGGCACGAAACCAAAAAAUGGGGAAGGGCGGAGCGAGACAGGUGCGGUCGAAUGUUGAUAUAAAAAGAAAUUGAUUCUCAUACCAGUAGCCACGUCUCAGCGUUGUAUGAUGAACGCGUAUAAAUUACAACAACUGCCUAUGUUCGAAUGUUAUUGUAAAUAGUGACACAUUCAAGUCACGGCUUCCCACACGCCCACGUGCCCCUGAUUUCGGAUGAAAGGUUUGCAGCACUUGAGCUUUAAUGAAUUGUUAUGCGAUUCGAGUUAGCUAAGUGUACGUCAGAUCGUGUUGUUUCGAAGGGCGAUAGUUUUUAUUACCUCUUGUAGCAGCUAUGCCGCACACGCACAUCAAAAUGAUUGAUUGCACUUUACUUAUACAAAAAUUAUAAAACCUAUUCAUACGCUCUGGACAUGCUAAGAAGACCGGUUAAGGCACGAAAACAAAACGGGAGACAGGCAAUGCGAGACGGGUGCGGUGGAAUGUUCGUAUAAAAAGGCGUCAUUGAAGUUGCUCAAACAUUUUAAAUACGAGAGCGUCGAACGUACUGACAGUUCAUCUGCAGCUUCAGCGUAAGAAUCGCCAAACCCGUUAACGACCCUAAAUGAUGAAGACUUACGUAGUUUUUCUCAUCGUGAUGGUAGUAGCUAUGCUCGGCCUAGCUGCUGCACAAUAUGGGGGACGUGGUGAAGGAGG